AAUGGUUGUCAUACUAUGACUUACUGUGGUAACUCUGUAGGUAUUCGUUCGACAAUAGAUCAAUGAACAACCUGAAAUGAAAGCGUUCUCCCUAGUGAUUAGCCUACUCGUGAUUAGUGUGGUGGUGAUUAUUAUCCCACCGUGCGGGGCUGCACUUGGACGAAGAAUGGCUUAAAAAUCAAGGCCGAAUUCAAGAAAACCCCCGCACCGAAAGGUCGGGGGUUUUUUUAUGCGGUCAGAAACCUAAACAAGGGAGCAGCUAUGUUCAGCAGAAUAAAGUCCUGUUAUUCCCAAAAGAC
rfam:Serratia sp. ATCC 39006 ctg1, whole genome shotgun sequence.